rnacentral:rRNA from 1 species
AGAGUGAACGCUGGCGGCAGGCCUAACACAUGCAAGUCGAACGGCAGCACAGCAGUAGCAAUACUGUGGGUGGCGAGUGGCGGACGGGUGAGGAAUACAUCGGAAUCUACCUUGUCGUGGGGGGAUAACGUAGGGAAACUUACGCUAAUACCGCAUACGAACUACGGUUGAAAGCGGCGGACCGCAAGGCGUCGCGCGAUUGGAUGAGCCGAUGUCCGAUUAGCUAGUUGGCGGGUAAAGGCCCACAAGGCGACGAUCGGUAGCUGGUCUGAGAGGAUGAUCAGCCACACUGGAACUGAGACACGGUCCAGACUCUACGGGAGGCAGCAGUGGGAAUAGUUGGACAAGUGGGCGCAAGCCUGAUCCAGCCAUGCCGCGUGUGUGAAGAAGGCCUUAGGUUGUAAAGCUACUUUGUACGGUAAAGAAUCCUGUCGGUUAAGUACCCGGUGGGAUGACGGUACCGAAGAAUAAGCACCGGCUAACUCGU